GAUGAACGCUAGCGGCAGGCUUAAUACAUGCAAGUCGUGGGGCAGCAUGAGUGUAGCAAUACAUUUGAUGGCGACCGGCAAACGGGUGCGGAACACGUACAAAACCCUCCUUCAAGCGGGGCAUAGCCCAGAGAAAUUUGGAUUAAUACCCCACAAUAUAAUGAAGAGGCAUCUCUUUGUUAUUAAAGAUUUAUCACUUGAAGAUGGCUGUGCGGCUGAUUAGGUAGUUGGCGGGGUAACGGCCCACCAAGCCUGCGAUCAGUAACUGGUGUGGGAGCACGACCAGUCACACGGGCACUGAGACACGGGCCCGACUCCUACGGGAGGCAGCAGUAAGGAGUAUUGGUCAAUGGACGCAAGUCUGAACCAGCCAUGCCGCGUGGAGGAUGAAGGUCCUCUGGAUUGUAAACUUCUUUUAUAUGGGACGAAAAAAGGCUUUUCUAAGUCGUCUGACGGUACCAUAUGAAUAAGCACCGGCUAACUCCGUGCCAGCAGCCGCCGUAAUAC
rnacentral:rRNA from 1 species